AUUGUCCUUUGCAAGCAUCUUGCUGAAGUUGAGAGCAUUGGAGGAAACCUGAGGUUCUCAUCAGUGACAGCAGGAUUUGUUGGGACAUAUAUGAAAGCCCACCCAUGGACAUGGGAGAAGUGGACCUCUUUCUUAAUGUCCGGUGCUUUGACCUGUACAUACGGUGGCACAUUC